AGCCGUUUCCUGUUAGCGUCUUGAAAAUAUCACACUGCUGCUCUCUGGCUACUGCUCUGGCUGCUCAGAAAUCAAGUCAAGGUCCAAGCUACACUUGCUACAAAGGUGCGGACCUCUUAAACUCCUCACGGAAAAUGUAAAAUUGUUGUCGAGAUGUUUUUUUGCCACGGUUAAAGUUCACCUCUCUCCACGGCACGCCUCGUUUUUCUCCUUAGGAAAUACGGCGAUGAGAUCGUGUACUCCGGCGGGAUCUUCCAGUGACCAGUCUAGGCUCUGGCGAAAUGGCCAAAGACACCCGCGGGCUCGCCUCGCCGCGCCGCGACACCAACACCCAUACUGUCCCGCGCGCGCCUCCCUCACUUUCUUCCUCCCUCCCGCGUCGGCCGACGCGCGAGCGUUCCCCGCGC
rnacentral:lncRNA from 1 species